UACGUAGGGUGCAAGCGUUGUCCGGAAUUAUUGGGCGUAAAGAGCUCGUAGGCGGUUUGUCGCGUCUGCUGUGAAAACUCAGGGCUUAACCCUGAGCCUGCAGUGGGUACGGGCAGACUAGAGUGUGGUAGGGGAGAUCGGAAUUCCUGGUGUAGCGGAGGAAUGCGCAGAUAUCAGGAGGAACACCGGUGGCGAAGGCGGAUCUCUGGGCCAUAACUGACGCUGAGGAGCGAAAGCAUGGGGAGCGAACAGG
rnacentral:rRNA from 1 species